GGAGAGGUGCAAGAGUGGUUUAUCUGGCAGUCCUGGAAAGACUGUGUACUCGAAAGAGUACCAAGGGUUCGAAUCCCUUCCUCUCCGCCA
rnacentral:tRNA from 2 species